GCCCGAUUGUCCCCACUGGAUCAACGUUUAGCGGCCACAUGCUUCCACCAUCAGACCGAUCAUUUGCCUACCGGAUGACGAGGAUUUGGAAUGACUUGCGGAUUCCUGCGGAAUCGUAUCAAAGUUUUGAUAUCCUGAAUGCACCCCAGCGACUACGCAUUGGCGGAGCCACCAUACAUCGCCAUCGCGUGACGUCAGCUACGUUCUGUCACUGCAGUUGGUAAUAGAAAUGCGCCACGCAGAAACUCGGAUGAAGCGUCGCAAAAUGUCAGUCUCGCUUUCAUCGGAAAAUAUUCCACUGACCCGGAGCAGUUUAAGCAUUGCAUUAGACAUUAUUCCUGUUUCUGUUUGCA